rnacentral:misc_RNA from 1 species
GAUGAAGAACGCAAGCGAAAUGCGAUAAGUAAUGUGAAUUGCAGAAUUCAGUGAAUCAUCGAAUCUUUGAACGCACAUUGCGCCCCCUGGUAUUCCGGGGGGCAUGCCUGUCCGAGCGUCAUUACAACCCUCAAGCUCAGCUUGGUGUUGGGCCCCGCCGCCCCGGCGGGCCCUAAAGUCAGUGGCGGUGCCGUCCGGCUCCGAGCGUAGUAAUUCUUCUCGCUCUGGAGGUCCGGUCGUGUGCUCGCCAGCAACCCCCAAUUUUUUUCAGGUUGAACUCGGAUCAGGUAGGGAUACCCGCUGAACUUAAGCAUAUCAAUAAGCGGAGGA